CACAGGAGGAGCCCUGGGACCAUCCUCGCAGUCCCUGCCCUCACACACUACACACACACAUUUAAAUAUAAUUUGGGCCUGGCAGUAGUGGCUAAUGCCCUUAAUCUCAGCAUUCGGGGAAGGCACAGGCCAGCCAGGCCUAUAGAGCUAGUUCCAGGACAGCCAAAGCUACACAAAGAAACCUUGUCUCAAAACAAACAAGUAAACCUCAGGACCUGGCGGUGGACCAGCACUUUGGAGAUAGAUCUGCGAUUUCGAGGAUAGCCUGAUCUACAGAGCCAGGGCCAGGACAGGCAAGGCCACACAGAGGAUCCCAGUCUGGAAAAAGACAAGAUUUAUUUAUAAAGUCUGUGUUGGAGAGAUGUGUCGGAGCGCCCUGACUUGCUCUUCACUAGGACCCCCGGGCUCUUUUCCCAGUAUCCACAAUGAGGCUCCAGUUCCGGGGCAUCCGAUGCCCUCUUCGACCUCCACGCGUUCCCCGGUGCUGCACACAUGUGGAACACAGACCGUGGUCAGGUCGCGUACAGGAAGGACGGAAAGGACCUUUCGGCCAACAACAGGAGAACCGACCCUGAACAGCACGCGGAAACGUGUCAGUCGGGGAGGACACUGACCAGCACGCCAACGAGGGAAGAGAAGAGAACACAUGCGCUGAGCAAAGGCUGGGCGGGGGGUCACGGCGACCGACCACCGCCUGCGAGGAGGACCCGGCGACCUUCAGACGGUUUGGAAAACUACAGUUUUACAAACUAGGAACCCAUUCCAGGGGUGACCAGCCCAAAUCCCGUGGUUUCCUUCAAGAGAAGAGGACUUGGGAAAAGACAGAGGUGAAGUCCGCCCAACCUAACUUUACUCAGGGAAUGAAGAUCGUGCCAGCUCCCGUCAGAGAGCCAGGGAGUGUGUGACACGGGACCACCACCGGCACUCCGCAUCCCGUCUGCACACCGACUUUUGUCCCCGGGAAUCUACUUCCCUCCCCACACAAGAGCUCUUCCUUCCAGCAGAAGGCUUGCC
rnacentral:lncRNA from 1 species